ensembl:lncRNA novel transcript
GCGCAAUCUCUAAGGAAAAGAGGUUUAUUUGGCUCACUGCUCUGUGGGCUGUACAAGAAGCAUGGCACCAGCAUCUGCUCCUGGUGAGAGGCUCAGGCUGCUUCCACUCAUGGCAGAAGCUUGCUCUGGCUAACAACCACUAUCAUCAAAGUUGUCUGAGGAAGACCUCCUGUUGCUGUGACUGACGGGACUCUUGGUGGAAGCCCUAUUCCCAUGUGCCCAUGGCUGCAGCUCCCCAAGGAAGCAGGACAUUGUUGGAUUCUCUAAGAAGCUCAGAGGAAGUUACUUCUCACUGUGGUGCCAUAUGGGAUUUGAAGUCGUUCUACUCAUGCUCUGUUUUUCAAUAAAGCUGCUUCUGCCUCUGU